AGUGAACGCUGGCGGUAGGCCUAACACAUGCAAGUCGAACGGCAGCACAGUAAGAGCUUGCUCUUACGGGUGGCGAGUGGCGGACGGGUGAGGAAUACAUCGGAAUCUACUUUUUCGUGGGGGAUAACGUAGGGAAACUUACGCUAAUACCGCAUACGACCUACGGGUGAAAGCAGGGGAUCUUCGGACCUUGCGCGAUUGAAUGGGCCGAUGUCGGAUUAGCUAGUUGGCGGGGUAAAGGCCCACCAAGGCGACGAUCCGUAGCUGGUCUGAGAGGAUGAUCAGCCACACUGGAACUGAGACACGGUCCAGACUCCUACGGGAGGCAGCAGUGGGGAAUAUUGGACAAUGGGCGCAAGCCUGAUCCAGCCAUACCGCGUGGGUGAAGAAGGCCUUCGGGUUGUAAAGCCCUUUUGUUGGGAAAGAAAAGCAGCAGGUUAAUACCCCGCUGUUCUGGCGGUACCCAAAGAAUAAGCACCGGCUAACUUCGUG
rnacentral:rRNA from 1 species